UUUUUAUUUUUGCUUUUUUUUUUUUAAGAUUUUUUUUUUUUUUUUUUUCUGGGAGAGGGCAAGUGAGGGAGGGGCAAAGAGAGGGAGACAGAGGAUCCAAACCAGGUUCUGUGCCGACAGGCUGACCGCAGUCAGCCCGAUGCAGGGCUCAAACUCAUGAACCGCAAUAUCAUGACUUGAGCCGAAGUUGCUCAACUGCCAGAGCCACCAAGGUGCCCCAUGUAUAAGCUCAUUUUAACGCCUUGAUGUGAAAGCCAAUCUCAGACUUUUUGCAAGGGGGGAAAAAAAACUUAGGUACAGUAAAAUUUUGUCCUGAUAAGCCUGCUUGGUUUGAAGAAGUGCAAGAUAGGCCAGUUGAUACAGAGAGUAAUUAUAUCUGUACUUAAGUAAAAGAGUGAGGACAAUAACAGAAUUUUAUAGUUGAGCCUAUCAGAAAGCUCUAAAUAAACAUUAAUUCUUGGUCUAGUAAGAAGAGUGAGAAUUUAUAUAAGCUGUGUUCUCCAUUUUAAAGACAGAGAAGAAAUUAAUCCAUUUGUAUAAUGAGUUAUACAUAUAUAUGUGUGUGUGUGUGUGUGCGUGUGUGUGUGUAUAUAUAUAUAUAUAUAUAUAUAUAUAUAUAUAUGUAUGUAUAUGAAUGCUUCUUGAUGUUAAACUCGUGAUUAAGGAAUAUUGUCAAAUCUUCAUUUCCAAUAAUUCUAGAUUUUAGGAGUAGUUCUACCCCAGGGCAGAUGUAUUGAAAAUCCUUUCCAGUUCUGGGAUUCCUUGUGUCCUUCUUGCAGUUUAUCAGCUGAGAGCCCUGUGAGGCUUUGUUACUUCUUACUUUAGCCGGAAGUGCUGGCAGCACCAUAGUUAAAAUUGCCCACACAGUUGGUACUUUGUGAAUUCAUAUAGCACUUGUACUGUGUUCUCUGGUAAUCUGUUAGUGUUGAUAGGUUAGUCCAUGGAGUGGACUCUAUCCUUUCCUGUCUAUUAAACAUUCAACCACAGGGAAAUGUGAAGAUUUUCAGCAUCUGAAUUUGUGGUUUCCUUGAAAAUCUCUGCACAGUCCAGGUUUAUGAUACAUUUGUGGAUGUUGCUCAUAUGGUUGCGUAUUACUUAUUCAAGCUACUUUUAUCAGAAACUCUUGCCUAAACAUUUAGGGAGAAAUUCUUGCCCGUUACAGGUACACUUUUGGCUAGAUACCUCAUCUGUGUUAUAUUUUCUUUAUUCUUCAUAGCUCAGGGAAUUGGAUAUCAUUGUGUUUUCAUAGCAGAUGGACUAGAGCCCAGCAAUUAAUAUAUGGCAGAGCCAAGGGUUCAAAUGCAAGGUUUUGGGCCCCAACAUAGUCAGUACUGAUUUUUUAUAACACCACGACUGCUUUCCUUGCUUAUUUCUUUUCCUUUCUGCCUACCUACCACUUUGAAUUAGUGUAGACCUUUUAUAGGAGACAUAUUUUGGAAAGUUUAAGAAAAUGAGAGAGAAUGAGGAAAGGUAGCUGAGGCCUUUAAAAUUGGAUCACUGAUUACAUUAGGCUUCACUUCAGAGGAUAGGGGCUGGCGUUGGUUAAUAUCUGUUUUACAGUCACCGCCCCCCCCCCCCCCCGCCCGAACCUCAUACAGUAGAGAUGAGGAGUAGCCAGUGUCUUAAAGAGAUGCUACAGAACUACAAAGAAGUUGGUAACGCUGAUUCUCAGACAAAAGCACAUUUGUGAGCACUGGGGUUGGUUUUCAGGUGGCCUAACGGCCUACAAACAUAUGAAUUACUUGACAGAGACAUGAAAGACAAAUAGGUAAGAAGUAUAAUGGCUUCUUUUUGAAAACAUUUGUAACUUUCCCAAGCAAGAGCAAGGAAAUAUGGAGAGUUCCAGUCCGACAUGGCAACAUAGGAAGACUCUGAACUCAGCUCCAUGGAACCCAGCAGUUUAUACCUGCUUAUAGAGCAGCUCCUCCUGAAAGAACUGAGGGCUGACUAAACAGCUUCUGCAAAACCAUAGAAUGGCAAGAGAACAGCAAGAAAAACUGAGACACAGUAACAAAGGAAACCUCCACCUCUGACAAGGCCAACAGCAGUUGGGGGGGGGGACGAGGGGGGGAUAGUACUGAGGGACCAGGAACAGAUCUCUGUCCUUGGGCACAGGAUAAAAGCCUCAGUGGAGAAGAGCAACUAACACAUAAAAGAGACAACAGUAGAACUCUACCAAAUUGCAGAGGGACUGUGGGUUCACUCUCCAGGUCAGAGGGACUGGAGGACAACACAGUUUGUGUUCCCACCCCACCUUAAAAGCCUAGACCCCACCAGGAUCUAGACACCAGCAGGUCUGGUCAUCAGAGUGUACCUGUAACCUCAGCAAGACCAGAGUCCACAGCCCAUGCCAGCCUUGGGGGCAGUGGCACUGGGGCAUAGAAAAUAAACUGGAUUUUUUUGUG